GGGUUGUGAGGUUAAGCGACUAAGCGUACACGGUGGAUGCCCUGGCAGUCAGAGGCGAUGAAGGGCGUGCUAAUCUGCGAUAAGCGCCGGUAAGGUGAUAUGAACCGUUAUAACCGGCGAUACCCGAAUGGGGAAACCCAGUGUGACUCGUCACACUAUCAUUAACUGAAUCCAUAGGUUAAUGAGGCGAACCGGGGGAACUGAAACAUCUAAGUACCCCGAGGAAAAGAAAUCAACCGAGAUUCCCCCAGUAGCGGCGAGCGAACGGGGAGGAGCCCAGAGCCUGAAUCAGCAUGUGUGUUAGUGGAAGCGUCUGGAAAGGCGCGCGAUACAGGGUGACAGCCCCGUACACAAAAGCGCAUGUGCUGUGAGCUCGAUGAGUAGGGCGGGACACGUGGUAUCCUGUCUGAAUAUGGGGGGACCAUCCUCCAAGGCUAAAUACUCCUGACUGACCGAUAGUGAACCAGUACCGUGAGGGAAAGGCGAAAAGAACCCCGGCGAGGGGAGUGAAAAAGAACCUGAAACCGUGUACGUACAAGCAGUGGGAGCACCCUUUGGGGUGUGACUGCGUACCUUUUGUAUAAUGGGUCAGCGACUUAUAUUCUGUAGCAAGGUUAACCGAAUAGGGGAGCCGGAGGGAAACCGAGUCUUAACCGGGCGUUAAGUUGCAGGGUAUAGACCCGAAACCCGGUGAUCUAGCCAUGGGCAGGUUGAAGGUUGGGUAACACUAACUGGAGGACCGAACCGACUAAUGUUGAAAAAUUAGCGGAUGACCUGUGGCUGGGGGUGAAAGGCCAAUCAAACCGGGAGAUAGCUGGUUCUCCCCGAAAGCUAUUUAGGUAGCGCCUCGUGAAUUCAUCUCCGGGGGUAGAGCACUGUUUCGGCUAGGGGGCCAUCCCGGCUUACCAACCCGAUGCAAACUGCGAAUACCGGAGAAUGUUAUCACGGGAGACACACGGCGGGUGCUAACGUCCGUCGUGAAGAGGGAAACAACCCAGACCGCCAGCUAAGGUCCCAAAGUCAUGGUUAAGUGGGAAACGAUGUGGGAAGGCCCAGACAGCCAGGAUGUUGGCUUAGAAGCAGCCAUCAUUUAAAGAAAGCGUAAUAGCUCACUGGUCGAGUCGGCCUGCGCGGAAGAUGUAACGGGGCUAAACCAUGCACCGAAGCUGCGGCAGCGACGCUGAUGCGUUGUUGGGUAGGGGAGCGUUCUGUAAGCCUGCGAAGGUGGCCUGUGAGGGUUGCUGGAGGUAUCAGAAGUGCGAAUGCUGACAUAAGUAACGAUAAAGCGGGUGAAAAGCCCGCUCGCCGGAAGACCAAGGGUUCCUGUCCAACGUUAAUCGGGGCAGGGUGAGUCGACCCCUAAGGCGAGGCCGAAAGGCGUAGUCGAUGGGAAACGGGUUAAUAUUCCCGUACUUGGUGUUACUGCGAAGGGGGGACGGAGAAGGCUAUGUUGGCCGGGCGACGGUU
rnacentral:rRNA from 1 species